GACCCGUCUUGAAACACGGACCAAGGAGUCAAACAGACGCGCAAGGGAGAAGAUAUUCGUUUGCAGUACUUCUCUCGUACUGAAAGGGAGCGCUCUUAGAGCGCGAUUGGUGUGCACACAACACGAAUGCCCAACACCGUCCGGCCCGCGCGCGGGUUGCGAUUGAGUGUGCCUGUUUGGACCCGAAAGGUGGUGAACUAUGCCUGAACAUGGUGAAGCCCGGGGAAACCCAGGUGGAAGCCAGUAGCGGUGCUGACGUGCAAAUCGCUCGUAUGAUUUGGGUAUCGGAGCGAAAGACUCAUCGAACCACCUAGUAGCUGGUUCACAUCGAAGUUUCCCUCAGGAUAGCUGGUGCUAGAGUCACAUAUUAGUAUUGUGCGGUAAAGCAAAUGAUUAGAGGCAUUGGUGUUCUUAGAAUAUCGACCUAUUCUCAAACUUUAAAUGUGCAAAAAAUCCUUUCUUACAGCCAAACUCGGAAGAUUGGAUCUAAAUCGCAUUAAGGCACCAAGUGGGCCUUCUUCGGUAAGCGGAGCAGGCGAUGCGGAAUGAACCGCUUAGGGAUAUGUGGUGUCAAAACUUUUGGGCUCAUUCUCGAUACGUGAAAAGGGUGUUGGUGGAUUUAGACAGUUGGACGGUGGCCAUGGAAGUCGGCAUCCGCUAAGGAGUGUGU
rnacentral:rRNA from 1 species